UGAGAGGUUUUGCAAAAAGAUAUGAAAGUGAAGCUUCAGUUGCUAUGAAGACCCCAGUAUUCUAUGCAAGCAAGCAUCCUGGGACAUCUACCAAAGAUAGCUGCAGGAGUUCACAAAGCCCAAGUUUUCAUAUUCCCCUUAAAAAGCCUGGCGUUCAUGCUUGAGUAACCAAUUUACACAGCCCAAAUGACAGAUGAGCAAGCAGGGAAAAGACGCCGAUCGCUCUUCCACUCCGCCAGCCCCGUGCUCCCGAAGCGGCUUCUGUUUUCCAUUUCACAUCGUGUAUCAGGAAAAAUGCAGCAAUGACAAGGUGAUGGAGAGCUGAGCCCAUCAGUCACUCACUGAAGUUCUCCUGUGAACAAGAAGCAAACCCUGACACUUUG